rnacentral:piRNA from 1 species
UGCUUUCAGUACCCACAUGCCUUGGGCCAG